rnacentral:lncRNA from 1 species
UUUGUCUCUGUCUCUCGCUGGGUCUCUGCCCUGCUGCGCUCCCGAGCUCUCCUGGCCCUCCGUCCUCGCCCCUUGUAUCCAGCGGCGCGGGGUGGGUGGGGAUGGGGAUGGGGGCGGGGGGAAGGGCCGGCCUGCGCCGGGCCCCGGCACCUCGGGCUGGCUCCCGAGCCGGCCCCUAACAAAGGGAAGCUCCCGGGCCCCAGCCUUGGAGCGGAGCCGGCCGCGGGCCCGGGCCCGAGCCGAGGGGCCGCGGGGGGGCCUCGGAGGAGCCGCCGGAGCCGGCCCCGUCUGGAUCGGCUUAGAGAAGGGGACCAGUUUUUACUCUGGUCAGCCUGGUUGUUUCUCCAUUUCUGACGUUCCCCGAAGGAGACGCUGA